rnacentral:snRNA from 1 species
GUUCGCUUCGGCAGCACAUAUACUAAAAUUGGAACGAUACAGAGAAGAUUAGCAUGGCCCCUACGCAAAUUCGUGAAGUGUUCCAUAUUUUU